UGUUCUGACACUGAAUACAGAGAACAAUAAUUUUCCCUACCAAUUACCUAACUUCCAUAAGUGUGAGAUCUGUUUGCUGUCUUUUCCAAAAGAGACCCAGUUCCAGCGCCAUAUGAGGGAUCAUGAGCAAAAUGACAAGCCUCAUCGGUGUGAUCAGUGUCCAAUGUCAUUCAACGUUGAAUUCAACUUGACACUACAUAAAUGUACCCACAGUGGUGAAGAUCCUACAUGUCCUGUGUGCAACAAGAAGUUCUCCAGAGUGGCUAGUCUGAAAGCUCAUAUAAUGCUACAUGAGAAAGAAGAGAAUCUUAUCUGUUCAGAGUGUGGAGAUGAAUUUACUUUACAGAGUCAGCUGUCCAUACACAUGGAAGAACAUCGUCAAGAAUUGGCUGGCAGUAGAAUCCACAGCUGCAAAUCUUGCAAAAGGGAAUUUGAAACUUCCUCACAGCUAAAGGAGCAUAUGAAAACUCACUUUAAAAUAAGGGUAUCAAAUACAAGAUCUUAUAACAGAAACAUUGACAGAAGUGGGUUUACCUAUUCAUGUCCGCACUGUGGAAAGACUUUCCAAAAACCAAGUCAGUUAACUCGACAUGUUAGAAUACAUACAGGUGAAAGACCUUUUGAAUGCAGUGAAUGUGGAAAAGCCUUCAACCAGAAGGGGGCACUGCAAACCCAUAUGAUCAAGCACACUGGUGAAAAACCCCACGCUUGUGCCUUUUGUCCUGCAGCCUUUUCUCAGAAAGGCAAUCUUCAGUCACACAUACAGAGAGUUCAUUCAGAGGUCAAGAAUGGCCCUACGUAUAACUGUACAGAAUGUAGCUGUGUCUUUAAAAGCUUGGGCAGCUUAAAUACGCAUAUCAGCAAGAUGCAUAUGGGUGGUCCACAGAAUUCUGCAAGCUCUUCAACUGACAUAUCUCAUGGUACAGCGGACUCUGUCACUCAGCCUCUAACAACAUCUCCUGCUAAUCUUUUGCAACCUGUUGAUAGCAAAUGGAAGAACGCAACACAUUUUCGGUCUCCGCUUCUUCAACAGACAGAAAACCAGGUGUCUUCAGCUACCACUCAUCAGGGACAGCAGGCUGUAACCGACGUGAUCCAGCAGCUCCUUGAGUUGUCAGAACCAGGUCCAGUAGAAAAUAAUCAGCCUCAGCAGUCUGGUCAGCAACUCAACAUUGCAGUGGGUAUCAAUAGAGACAUUUUGCAGCAAGCUUUAGAGAACAGUGGGUUGUCUUCAAUUCCUGUCUCUGCUCAUUCUACUGAUUGCGGCCAGGCUAAGACACCUGGGGUCCAGGAUCAAAAUCCAGAUGUCCAGCCUCUCUCAAAUCAUCAGGCUGACUCUAAUAAUGCAGAACAAGUUAAGGAGCAAGAGACUACAGAUAAACUAGAAAAGAAAGAAAAAAAGGUCAUUAAGAAAAAGUCACCGUUUUUACCUGGUUCUAUACGUGAAGAAAAUGGAAUAAGAUGGCACGUUUGUCCUUAUUGCGCUAAAGAAUUUAAAAAACCAAGUGAUCUAGUGCGUCACAUUCGCAUUCAUACCCAUGAAAAGCCGUUCAAGUGUCCCCAGUGUUUCCGCGCCUUUGCAGUCAAGAGUACACUCACAGCACACAUAAAAACGCAUACUGGGAUUAAAGCUUUCAAGUGCCAGUUUUGUAUGAAAUGCUUUUCCACCUCAGGGAGUUUAAAAGUUCACAUUCGUCUACAUACGGGUGUUAGGCCUUUCGCUUGUCCUCACUGUGAUAAAAAGUUUAGAACAUCAGGCCACAGGAAAACUCAUAUUGCUUCACAUUUUAAGCAUACUGAGCUAAGAAAGUUGCGGCAUCAACGUAAACCUGCGAAAGUUCGAGUAGGAAAGACCAGCGUUCCAGUACCAGACAUUCCUUUGCAAGAACCCAUACUCAUCACUGAUUUAGGUCUUAUCCAGCCCAUCCCAAGGAAUAGCCAGUUCUUCCAAAAUUAUUUUAAUAAUAAUUUUGUGAAUGAUGCAGACAGACCAUACAAAUGUUUUUACUGCCAUCGAGCCUAUAAAAAAUCUUGUCAUCUUAAACAACACAUCAGGUCACAUACUGGUGAAAAGCCAUUUAAGUGCUCUCAGUGUGGAAGAGGUUUUGUGUCAGCCGGAGUGCUGAAAGCACAUAUUAGAACACACACUGGAUUGAAAGCUUUCAAGUGCGUGAUAUGCAAUGGGGCCUUCACUACUGGUGGUAGCCUUAGGCGACAUAUGGGUAUCCAUAAUGACCUUCGACCAUAUAUGUGUCCAUAUUGUCAAAAAACGUUCAAAACAUCACUAAACUGUAAAAAACACAUGAAGACUCAUAGGUACGAACUUGCACAGCAACUUCAGCAGCAUCAGCAAGCUGCUUCCAUAGAUGAUUCUACAGUAGAUCAGCAGAGCAUUCAUGUUUCUACACAGAUGCAAGUAGAGAUUGAAAGUGAUGAGCUGCAGCAGUCAGAAGCUGUUACAACUGAUCAGCAAGCUAUUUUAGAGUUAGACCAGCAGCCAGUAGUAGGCACAGAAGAAACGGGACUAGAACAGCAAUUGACUGAUCAGCCUUUACAGCAAGAUGAAGAUAGGUUUGUGACGUCCCAGCAUGCUUUACAGGAAAACAUCACUCAAUUUGAACAACAAGGUAUAACACAGCAGUCAUUUGAUCAACAAGGUUUAUCACAAGGUUUUACUGUGAACGACAGCUACAAUCAGCAGACUCAAUUUCCGGCUGUACAGCAGCUGCAGGAUUCAAGCACACUUGAAUCUCAGGCCCUUUCAACGAGUUACCAUCCUCCAGCCCUUCUUCAAGUUCCAAAUACAGAUACUAUUAAUGUAACUACUCGCUUGAUACAAGAUCAGUCAUCACAAGAAGAACUUGAAUUGCAUACCCAACGGCCUCAUUUCCUUGAGGAUAAUGAAGAUCAAAGCAGACGUUCAUAUAGGUGUGAAUAUUGCAACAAGGGUUUCAAGAAAUCCAGCCAUUUGAAACAACAUGUACGAUCGCAUACUGGUGAGAAGCCUUAUAAAUGCCAACUUUGUGGCCGUGGCUUUGUUUCCUCAGGAGUUCUUAAAUCACAUGAGAAGACUCAUACAGGAGUUAAAGCAUUCAGCUGUAGCAUUUGCAAUACGUCCUUCACAACUAAUGGCAGCCUUACCAGGCACAUGGCAACUCACAUGAGCAUGAAGCCUUAUAAGUGCCCGUUCUGUGAUGAAAGCUUUCGAACAACUGUUCACUGCAAAAAACAUAUGAAAAAACAUCAGGCAGUCUCCUCAGCUGUAGCAGCAGCUACAGAAACAGGAGGGGGAGUUACAUGUGUUGAAGAUGAUGAUGAAAACUCUGAAAGAACUUCCAGAAAAUCGCGGCCUGGUGUCAUUACUUUUACAGAAGAAGAAACAGCAGAACUGGCAAAAAUUAGACCUCGAGAAAGUGCUACCGUUUCAGAAAAAGUUCUUGUCCAGUCUGCUGCGGAAAAAGAUAGAAUUAGUGAGAUCAAGGAUAAGCAAGCAGAACUGGAAGCAGAGCCUAAAUAUGCUAACUGUUGCAGUUACUGCCCGAAAAGCUUUAAAAAACCCAGUGAUUUAGUCAGGCAUGUUCGUAUCCAUACUGGAGAGAAGCCGUAUAAAUGCGAAGAGUGUGGGAAGAGUUUCACUGUAAAGUCUACUCUAGAUUGUCAUGUUAAAACACACACAGGCCAGAAGCUCUUCAGUUGUCAUGUAUGCAGUAAUUCUUUUUCUACCAAAGGGAGUCUAAAAGUACACAUGCGCUUGCAUACAGGAGCAAAGCCGUUUAAAUGUCCACACUGUGAUUUACGGUUUCGUACUUCAGGGCGCAGAAAAACCCACAUACAGUGUCAUUAUAAACCAGAGACAAAGAAAGUUAGGAAGCCUGUCACACGUACUUCCGCUGAGGGAUUACAACCAGUCAGUCUUCUUAAUUCAUCCUCAACAGACCCUAAUGUUUUCAUCAUGAACAAUUCUGUUUUGACAAGUCAAUUUGAUCAAAAUUUGCUUCAACAAGGACUUGUGGGCCAGGCCAUCCUACCUGCUUCCGUGUCAGCUGGAGGUGACUUAACUGUGUCCUUGACAGAUGGUAGCUUGGCCACUCUUGAAGGAAUACAGUUACAACUUGCUGCUAAUCUGGUUGGACAAAAUGUUCAAAUUUCUGGAAUAGAUGCCACCAGUAUUAACAACAUAACGUUACAGAUUGAUCCAAGUAUUCUACAGCAGACAUUACAACAGAGUAAUUUACUUGCUCAGCAGCUAACUGGGGAUCCCAGUAUGGGUGCACAGAAUUCUUCCCUGCAGACAACAGAAAAUGCAGUGCCAGCUAAUGUGGUUAUUCAGCCUAUAUCAGGCCUAUCUUUACAGCCUACAGUAACAUCUUCAGCUAAUAUGACAAUAGGAUCCCUAUCUGAGCAAGAGCCUGUGCUGACAACCAACACUAGUGGUGCACAGGACAUCUCUCAAGUCAUGACCUCACAGGGUGUGGUGUCCUCUUCAAAUGGACAGCAUGAGAUAACACUGACCAUAAAUAAUUCCAGUUUGAGUCAAGUUCUAGCUCAUGCUACAGGUUCUACUACUACAAGCUCAUCAGGAAGUCCUCAAGAAAUCACUCUUACGAUAUCAGGCCAAGAUCUUAUUCAGCAUAAUUCUGGAAGUAGUGAUCUGAAUGGCAGCUUAAGGCUGACAGCCCCAGCAAUCAACAGUCAGACUACAGGUGCUACGUUAACUAUAAGCAAUGACCAGCUUCUUUCUCAGGGCACUUCACUAAACACUCCAGAACUUAAUACAACAGGUGGAACAAACCUUCCUUCAACACCGCCCAUAUCUCAGUCCACAGUUGCUGCCCCAAAUUUAGUAAUGUCUCCAUCAGGAGUUGGAGGAGAUGGUAGUGUGACCUUGACUCUUGCUGACACUCAGGGAAUGUUGUCCGGUGGUCUUGAUGCAGUUACACUUAAUAUUACUUCACAGGGUCAGCAGUUCCCUGCUAUACUCACAGAUUCCAGUCUCACUAGCCAAAGUGGGUCAGGCUCACAGCAAGUCAUACUGGUGAGCCAUACACCCCAUUCAGCAUCUGCAAGCUCUGAUGAAAUAACAUACCAGGUGACAGAGGUUUCUCCUAGUGUGACUAAAAGCAGUCAAGCAGAAAAAGAAGGUCGUGUGCACCAGUGUUUUGAGUGUAAUCAGACCUUUUCUUCCGCCACUCUGUUGAUGCACCAUAGUAAAGAAGUCCAUGGCAAAGAGAGAAUACACGUUUGCCAUGUCUGCAAUAAAGCGUUUAAACGGGCGACACAUCUCAAGGUAUCUGGAACACAUGCAGACCCACCAGGCUGGACCUUCACUGAGUUCCCAGAAGCCUAGAGUGUUUAAGUGUGAUACUUGUGAAAAAGCUUUUGCUAAACCAAGUCAGCUGGAGAGACAUAGUCGCAUUCACACAGGGGAACGGCCAUUUCAGUGUACGCUAUGUGAAAAAGCUUUUAACCAGAAGAGCGCUCUUCAAGUUCACAUGAAAAAGCACACGGGGGAGAGGCCUUACAAAUGUGAUUACUGUGCAAUGGGAUUUACACAGAAAAGCAAUAUGAAACUCCAUAUGAAACGAGCUCAUGGUUACACUGGUCCUGUACAAGAACCUGCUAAUCAUCAAGAACAAGAAGGUGAAGAUAUCAGUCGUGCUCUGAAUUUAGAAGAAGUUGUACAAGAAUCUUCCAGUGAAUGGCAAAGUAUAGGCAAUGUUUUUCGAUGACACCUUGAAAUUUGAAAGCUGAGAAUGCUUUCAGGACUUGAACUGCUCUAAAUAAGUUUUCAGAAAAGUAAAAGAUGGAUUUUACAGUUGAAGCUUCAAGCAUUGAAAAUAUUAACAAUAGAAUAAUAUAUUAUAGUUUUUUUUUAAUUAUUUACAAAAAUGACCUAAAAGAAUCAUUGUCUUUUUUAAGCUUGUAGAAGAAUAUUGGGAAAACAUCAUUUAGUCUGUGCUAAGUUGUCUGUGAAUCAAUGAACUCAGGUAAUACUAUAUACAGUUUCUUCAUCUUCUAACUCACAGCCAGUAUAUCUAGUUGAAAAAUAAACUGGAACUUCAUAUCAGAACAGAAUGAUUCCCAUUUUUAAAGAAGGUGAAAAAUAACUUUAUGGGAAAAUCAUGAAACUGUCAGUCAACUUUUCUUUUUUUAAUUGUUUAAAGAAAUAAUUGAAGGUUGGAAACAAAAUGUUACUAAGCAGAUGCAUGCAGGUUGUUUUUUUUUUUUUUUUUAAACAAGGCACAGGAAAAUGCUAUGUUUCUAUUUUUAAGCUUCUUCUAGUGCAUUAUGAGAAUUUGUGGGGGAAAAAAUAAAUUACCAUGAAUUUAGGGCAUUUCUGCAGCUAAACUCUUGAAAGAGGGAGCAGGUUCAUUUCCAUUCCAACUGCAAAGACAGUUGAUGCUUUAUACAUUAAAAUGUCUGAGGUUUUAAACUCAGCAAUAAUUAUUGAAAGAGAAUCCAAACUAGAAGAAGUUAAAAUAAAAAUGUCUUAUGUUUGCCGUAUUGGGUCAGCAGGUGCAUAUCUCAUUAUCUGUGGAAAGCACAGCCAUAUACUACAGCCGGGAAGUGAACACAGAGUUUUGUUUGCAGCAGUCAAAGCUAGCUGCGUACUAGGUCACCCAUAUUAUACAGAAGUCACCAGUCUGUAAACAGUUAUUAUUUCAAAUCUGUAAAUUCCUCAUUAUUUUCUUUGUGAUUUCUGGAAAUAUGUUACACUUUUCUUGUUUAAAUCAUUGUUUCAGCAAAACUACCUAGUUAACAAAGUACUGCUUUGAAAGGUGCCACUUGUUAGGUAUAUUUGUAACAAAGAAACACUGGAGUAAAAACAUAGUCAUUUUUAAGACAUUCCAAAGACAGAAGCUCUUUUCUUUCUUUCUUUUUUAUUUUUUUACUUUGUUUUUUUGAGUUUUAUUUAUACGUUACAUAUAUAUAUAUAGAGAGAGAGAGAGAGAUAUGUGUGUGUAUGUGUAUAUAUAUAUAACAGAUUAUAUGAGCCUCUGUGUGGCUGAUAAGUAUAUUUUGUAAAUAGUAACCCCAGUUACAGGAAGUUCAUCUUUUCAGUUUCAUGCGAGCACUUCUAGAUCAGUGGUGGAUUCAUUGUACUGUAAUACAGAGUUAACUUUUAAUUUACUUUCUGAAAAAAGCAAUUGCCCACAGAUCCAAGAAGUCCCUUUUUGUAAAUAUUGUUUAUACUUUAUCUAUGAUUCAAACUAGUUAUUUCAGAUUCCUGAUACAAGAAAUCACUGUUGUUUUUGAUAGGCCAUCUCUUAAUUCUUUUGUUAACUCUUUGGCAUAUGUAUAUAAGUAAUAUAGUUGGUGACAUGAAAAAAACACUUUUGUUAUGUGAAAUAUUUAAUUCAAAAACAUGUUAAAUAAUACUACUUUUUUCCAAACUCUGCUUUGUGUAUUUUUUUUCAAUUUGAUUCUGGAUAGUAGGAAAUUCUUUAAACAGAUUUUAUUUUUUUUUUGUUAAACAGGAGCGUGCCUCCCAGUGUUAAAUCUAGAGCAGAUGAAGUUGUUUCAGCAGUGCUUUUCAUUCUAGACAAGGUGUUAGCCUUUUAACUGUUUCAGAAAGACAUAUUUUACUUUGAUAGUCAUUGUCUGGACAUACUAAGCUCAUGGUGUAGCCUCCUGUUUACCUAUAAUAAAGAGUAUUUUAAGUUAUGUAAUCUUAACCCUGAAUAAGUUCUCAUGUGCUAUAUUGUGUCUACUGCCCAUAAAAACAAACAAACAAAGACAAAAACAACUUUGCACUUUUUUUUUCAGAGAAUACUUCAUAAACGCAGAGCAGUUUGUUGGAAUUUAUUUGCUUGAAUAGAUAAUAAUACUUUCCAGAGAUUUCUAUCUACAGUAUGACAUAAAAUUAUUUUGCACUUGGUCACAUCCAGGUGUAAUUCUAUCCUUUAAAACAGGAUUGUGAUUCCUGAGUGCUCGAAAGCAUUUAUCUGUCCUAGCUGUGAUUGCUUUGCCAGCAAGUAAAAGCUAGUAGCGGUUGACACGAAGUGAGCAUAUGCUAACAGCAGAUCUCAUGAGUAAAAAGAUACCAUUUUAAAGUGGUCUGUUCUCAGAGUGCUUUGAAGUCUUGAUUACAGGAAAUGAGUGCAUGUUGCAAGUCUUGGAAAUGACGAAUAAACAGCAUGAGUUAAAUAAUCCUCCCAGCAUUUUUUCUGAAUUGAAUCUGCCAUUCCUUCAGCAUUUGGAGUCCUGUCAGCUACAAUAAAUAGAUGUUUUAAACUGCUUUCUCACACGGCAUUUGAUUUGCCUUUUUUACCCCCCACCCAGUGAACUUCAAGAAUCUGAUCUGAGUAUUAUAACAUAGAGUUUUUUUCCUUUAUUAAGAAAGAGCUGUUCUGCAGCAUAGCCCCGGUUACUUUGUAAAGUUGAACUGGAAAUUUUCAAAGCAAUCUGUCUGAUGUUCUGUACAGAUACAGAAACUGUAACAGAUGUGUUGAGACGUGCAAAAUAGAAGUAGAUAAGUGGUUUGUGUGGGGGUUAGGGUGGUUUUUUUUGUUGUUGUUUUUUUAAAUAAGAAAUAGAACUCUUUUCCUAAGGCCUUGUUGAAGAGUCAGAUUGUGUUGGGGGUAAAGGAGUAGUGUUUAGGCAGGCUUCCAUUCUUUCUGUUUUGAUGCAGUCCUAAGCUUAUCCUGUAGCCUCAGGGUGUUUGGCUUGUGUCUGUGCUCCUGUUUCUUUUGGUUUAUGUCCAUUCCCUCCGUGCUUGAAGUGACACACACCUUCUAAAACUACAGAUUGUCUUUUUGUAUUUCAGGAAAGAACCCUUUACUUAAGAGUCGUGUUUCUGUUUGAACGCAUACUCAUCAGAGCUAAAAGAAAAGUUUCAGUUGAAGCUUCAGUCUCUUACAAGAGAUGUCUGUCGGUAAAAUAUGUUAAAGUGCUAUGUCAUUAUAAGGAAUUUUUUUUUCUUAAUAGGAAGUAAAGCCAAAAAGAGGCACUUCCAGCCUCUGAGAAAGAUCAUUUAGGGGAAAAGGAGAGUGAUGAAGGAAAGGAAAAAGCUUCAGAUAAGUUCUGUAGUUCUAUAAUGCAGCAUUAUGAAAGAUAUGUCUUUCAAUUUCUCACCUUAAAUAUUCUCUCUAAUUCUUGAAGGCUGCUUUCAAAAUCAGCUUGAUUUUCACAUACCCUGUUCAAAGAAGAUACUUUGUGUUGUACUUGUUUAUGAAGGGCAGGAUUCUGUUGCCUGAACAUGGGUGUUUUACACCUUGCCGUUACCAGUUUAGCCUGCUGCUCCACAGACACACUGAUCUCCCAUAAGUCUUGUGUCAGAUUGCCAGCCUAAUGGGGAUGUCUUGGUUGUCAUAGGAUAUCUGAAAUGGUCGUAUGGGUUGUGCUAAGUCAGCUGCAAUGUGACUAGAAGCCUGUAGGGAGGCAACCGAGUCCUGCUCAAAGCGUAAUUUUUCAGUUUCUAAACAUUCUUCAUAAAUUGAGAGAAAACCAGAACAUUUUAUAUGUAAUGUUUUAUGUUACAAAACAAAACUUGUCCAAGUUUCAUUACAAGUUGAUUACUUUAUUUCAAUAAUGAAUUUUUUAAAAGCUAUGUUCCUAUAAGAACAAUACAUGUUCAAAUUAAAUAGACUAUUAUGUUGCAGAGUAUACAUCUGAGUGGAGUUACAGUAGAAAAAUACACAUAGCAACCAAUAUAGAUCAAAGAAGAAGUAAUAGGUGUGUGUAUGCUUAAUAAUUUUGGUGUUUUGUUUUCUUUAGUCUCUAUGUCUUUUCUAUCCUCUCCUUUUUUCAUUGCUUCAUAUUAAUGGAUACUGAUUUAAACCUACAAUAGAUUUAGUUGUGAAAUGGAAUUAAUAUAUUUAGGUAACUUUUACUGGGCACUCAUUAGGAAUGCGGUUUCAACCUGGUAAGCAUUAAUUGUAGUCUACAAUGCAUAGGCUAAAACAAACCAAAAAAUUAAUCAGACACUUGGAGAAUAGUUUGAAGAAAUAGUAAGUUUAAGUAAUAAAACAGUGCAAUUCAGAAGAGCCUUUUUUCCCUAUAUGUGGUUGGAAAUACCAUUGCCACAUAUUCAUUUUAGUAAUUUGUGAACAAUUAAUAUCUGUAUCUAACUCAGUUAUAAUUUAUUUCUAUGAGGCAACUACAGUACAACAGUUAAAUGCUCACAGUAGUUUACUAUGAGUUUGCUUUGGUGCGCUGCCGUCAACAGGCAUCCAGAUAUUAUUCAGUCAAAAGAUGAACUUACCAAAUAAAACACUGCUGCAGUACCAAGAGAAAGAUUUGGAAUUCUAACAUGAGAUGUGCAGGACUACCUUAAAUACCAGUACUGAAGGGCUUUCUUUCCGAAAUUAGACGUAUUUAUUUAUUUAUGUACUUAAUAUACUGCUAAGUUAAUGCUGUUGCAGCAGAGUUUGUGUGGAGCAACCGUGACUUUCAGUGGUCACGUGUACAAUCUUAGAUGUUUCUUCUCAGGGAAUAUCCCUUGUUUCUUUAGUCUAACUCAAAUUUGAAAUCCUCUUUCUCUCCCUCAUCCACUCUUAGUUCUAAUGGUUUGGGUGUGAUGAGCAAUUUAUAGUAUGGAAAGAACUUCCUUAUAACUAUUGCUCUGCAUCUCAUUGAUUCUACAACAUCUGCCCCCUCCCACGCUUCACAUACCUUGAACUCCCAGUGUUUGGUAACCUUUCCAUGACUGCCUAAUCCUGUUACGAAAAGUAAAUUAUUCUGUGAGUGAGAGAAGGAAGAUUAAAACAAAACAAAAAAACAAACCCAAAAACCCAAAUCAAAAAAAGUAUUUGGAUAAACAGUCCUUACAGCUUCUGCACAUAGUAGUUUUUUUUUUUUUUAUUACAGCAGUGUUUCAGAAAUUCACUAACAGCAGCGCUCAGUAUUCAAGACAUUAGCUCUGUAUUUGUAAUUCUGAUGCUCAGUUGAAAGAAACCAGAAGACUUGCACUUAAAUUAGGUACUUGGGAGAAAUAAUGAAGUCCAGCAUAUAGUUAGGGCAUCC